GACGAACGCUGGCGGCGUGCUUCAUACAUGCAAGUCGAGCGGGGUCCAUCCAGUGGCAACACUGGUGAAGACCUAGCGGCGAACGGGUGAGUAACACGUGAGGAACCUGCCCCAGAGACCGGGAUAACCCUCCGAAAGGAGAGCUAAUACCGGAUGCCCCCACCGGAUCGCAUGGUCUGGUGAGAAAAUGGAUUCCGCUCUGGGAGGGCCUCGCGGCCUAUCAGCUUGUUGGUGAGGUAACGGCUCACCAAGGCGUCGACGGGUAGCUGGUCUGAGAGGACGGUGUUGUAUACUGGGACUGAGACACGGCCCAGACUCCUACGGGAGGCACCAGUAGGGAACGUUCCGCAAUGGGCGAAAGCCUGACGCAGCAACGCCGCGUGGGGGAUGACGUCAUUUGUUGAUGUAAACGUCGGUUCUGAGGGACGAAAUUUUUGACGGUACCUCAGGAGAAAGCACCGGCUAAUUCUGUGCCAGCCGCCGCCGUAA
rnacentral:rRNA from 1 species